UGGCGGCGUGCCUAACACAUGCAAGUCGAACGGGAAGGAGGGCUUCGGCUCUCCGGAGUAGUGGCGCACGGGUGAGUAACACGUGGGUAAUCUGCCUUUGGGUGGGGAAUAACGAUCCGAAAGGGUCGCUAAUACCGCAUAACGCAGCGGCACCGCAUGGUGACAGUUGUUAAAGGGGGGGAUCGAAAGACCUCUCGCCUGAAGAGGAGCCCGCGCCCGAUUAGCUUGUUGGUGAGGUAAUGGCUCACCAAGGCUUCGAUCGGUAGCCGGCCUGAGAGGGCGGUCGGCCACACUGGCACUGAGACACGGGCCAGACUCCUACGGGAGGCAGCAGUGGGGAAUUUUGGGCAAUGGGCGAAAGCCUGACCCAGCAACGCCGCGUGAAGGACGAAAUCCCUCUGGGAUGUAAACUUC
rnacentral:rRNA from 1 species